GUGCCUGAGCAUCUAAAGUUUUUUAGGUCUUCAUAAAAAGGCAAAGACUUCAAGGAUGAAGGUGUACAUCGUUGUCCUGCUGGUCCUCGUGGCUGUGGCCGCUGCCACUGAAGUCGACAAACGACUGUUACUACCUAGCCUCCAUGACCUGGUGAACACCCUGAAGUCGGAGCUGGCAUCUCAUUCUGCCGUCACCCUCAGUGUCUGUGAGGCUGCUUGUCACAGAAUUGCUGGCGCUGUGUCCUUCUUGUGUAAUCCAGCUUGUGAACUCGUCGUCAGCGAACUGAGUGGAUGAGUUACGAGCUCUUCAGGACUCGGUCCACCUCACCCUAGUCUUGCUGGUAUUCCAGCAGCCGACGAUAAAAAAUAAACCUGUGAAAAAACA